rnacentral:rRNA from 1 species
GAUGAACGCUAGCGGCAGGCCUAACACAUGCAAGUCGAGGGGUAACAUAGGAAAGCUUGCUUUUCUGAUGACGACCGGCGCACGGGUGCGUAACGCGUAUACAACCUACCUUUUAGCGGGGAAUAGCCCAGGGAAACUUGGAUUAAUGCCCCAUAGUAUAUAGACUUUCUCCUGAAGUUUAUAUUAAACAUUUAUGGCUAUUAGAUGGGUAUGCGUCCUAUUAGUUAGUUGGUAAGGUAACGGCUUACCAAGGCAGCGAUAGGUAGGGGUCCUGAGAGGGAGAUCCCCACACUGGUACUGAGACACGGACCAGACUCCUACGGGAGGCAGCAGUGAGGAAUAUUGGACAAUGGGCGAGAGCCUGAUCCAGCCAUGCCGCGUGCAGGAAGACUGCCCUAUGGGUUGUAAACUGCUUUUACAGAGGAACGAACCACCCCACGUGUGGGGGUUUGACGGUACUCUGCGAAUUAAGGAUCGGCUAACUCCGUG